GACGAACGCUGGCGGCGUGCCUAAUACAUGCAAGUCGAGCGAGCGGAACUAACAGAUUUACUUCGGUAAUGACGUUAGGAAGGCGAGCGGCGGAUGGGUGAGUAACACGUGGGGAACCUGCCCCAUAGUCUGGGAUACCACUUGGAAACAGGUGCUAAUACCGGAUAAGAAAGCAGAUCGCAUGAUCAGCUUUUAAAAGGCGGCGUAAGCUGUCGCUAUGGGAUGGCCCCGCGGUGCAUUAGCUAGUUGGUAAGGUAAAGGCUUACCAAGGCGAUGAUGCAUAGCCGAGUCGAGAGACUGAUCGGCCACAUUGGGACUGAGACACGGCCCAAACUCCUACGGGAGGCAGCAGUAGGGAAUCUUCCACAAUGGACGCAAGUCUGAUGGAGCAACGCCGCGUGAGUGAAGAAGGUUUUCGGAUCGUAAAGCUCUGUUGUUGGUGAAGAAGGAUAGAGGUAGUAACUGGCCUUUAUUUGACGGUAAUCAACCAGAAAGUCACGGCUAACUACGUG
rnacentral:rRNA from 1 species